ACUUUCUUAAUAUAAUAAGUAUAUUUGAUUUCCAAUCAAAAAGUCUAUCACUAGAGAAAGUAA
rnacentral:tRNA from 1 species